AAAACAAAGAAAAAAUUCACUUAUUAUGAAUAAUUCCUAUAAUAGGUAUAAAAUUUCCCUGUAAAGUAUACAGAACUUAUGCCUCAUUACAUCACAGAUUAGUCAAUAAUGCAAUGGUAUCAACCAAAACUAAAACAACACCGCGAUUUUUUCAAUCUGAUAUCAGUAUAUCGAGUUUACCAGAAGGCCAUCUUGGUUAUCUCUGAGAAGAUACUGUAAUCAUUAUGUUUCAAGGGGCUCUGUCGAAGGGC
rnacentral:misc_RNA from 1 species